rnacentral:rRNA from 1 species
CUGCCGUGCGGCAUGCUAUACAUGCAGUCGAGCGGACAGAUGGGAGCUUGCUCCCUGAUGUUAGCGGCGGACGGGUGAGUAACACGUGGGUAACCUGCCUGUAAGACUGGGAUAACUCCGGGAAACCGGGGCUAAUACCGGAUGGUUGUUUGAACCGCAUGGUUCAAACAUAAAAGGUGGCUUCGGCUACCACUUACAGAUGGACCCGCGGCGCAUUAGCUAGUUGGUGAGGUAACGGCUCACCAAGGCAACGAUGCGUAGCCGACCUGAGAGGGUGAUCGGCCACACUGGGACUGAGACACGGCCCAGACUCCUACGGGAGGCAGCAGUAGGGAAUCUUCCGCAAUGGACGAAAGUCUGACGGAGCAACGCCGCGUGAGUGAUGAAGGUUUUCGGAUCGUAAAGCUCUGUUGUUAGGGAAGAACAAGUACCGUUCGAAUAGGGCGGUACCUUGACGGUACCUAACCAGAAAGCCACGGCUAACUACGUGCCAGCAGCCGCGGUAAUACGUAGGUGGCAAGCGUUGUCCGGAAUUAUUGGGCGUAAAGGGCUCGCAGGCGGUUUCUUAAGUCUGAUGUGAAAGCCCCCGGCUCAACCGGGGAGGGUCAUUGGAAACUGGGGAACUUGAGUGCAGAAGAGGAGAGUGGAAUUCCACGUGUAGCGGUGAAAUGCGUAGAGAUGUGGAGGAACACCAGUGGCGAAGGCGACUCUCUGGUCUGUAACUGACGCUGAGGAGCGAAAGCGUGGGGAGCGAACAGGAUUAGAUACCCUGGUAGUCCACGCCGUAAACGAUGAGUGCUAAGUGUUAAGGGGGUUUCCGCCCCUUAGUGCUGCAGCUAACGCAUUAAGCACUCCGCCUGGGGGAGUACGGUCGCAAGACUGAAACUCAAAGGAAUUGACGGGGGCCCGCACAAGCGGUGGAGCAUGUGGUUUAAUUCGAAGCAACGCGAAGAACCUUACCAGGUCUUGACAUCCUCUGACAAUCCUAGAGAUAGGACGUCCCCUUCGGGGGCAGAGUGACAGGUGGUGCAUGGUUGUCGUCACCUCGUGUCGUGAAAUGUUGGGUUAAGUCCCGCAACGAGCGCAACCCUUGAUCUUAGUUGCCAGCAUUCAGUUGGGCACUCUAAGGUGACUGCCGGUGACAAACCGGAGGAAAGGUGGGGGAUAAAGUCAAAUAAUCAAGCCCCUAA